AGCGACUAUGAUGAGCCAAUACAGACCUGUAAUGAUUUGCGAGCAUGAUCGCAAUUUAUUAUGAACAUCUAAGGGACUGAGUCUUA
rnacentral:snoRNA from 2 species